rnacentral:rRNA from 1 species
AUAAGAAAGUAAGGAAGGGCGCAUGGAGGAUGCCUUGGCUCUUAGAGGCGAAGAAAGACGUGAUAAGCUGCGAUAAGCUUCGGGGAUUGGCAAAUACGAAUUGAUCCGAAGAUUUCUGAAUGGGGCAACCCGCCAGGUUGAAGAUCUGGCAUUCCGCAAGGAAAGCGAACCCGCUGAACUGAAACAUCUAAGUAGGCGGAGGAAAAGAGAACAAUAGUGAUUGCGCAAGUAGUGGCGAGCGAACGCGCAGAAGCCCAAACCGGUGUAAUUACGGUUACACUGGGGUUAUAGGACUACAAUGUGGAAGUAAUGUGAAUAGUGGAACAGGUUUGGAAAGGCCGACCACAGAGGAUGAUAGUUCCGUACACGACAUUCAUGUUAUACCUAGUAGGAUCCUGAGUACUGCGGGGUUGGAGACGCCCUGUAGGAAUUUGCCGGCACCAUCCGGUAAGGCUAAAUACUCCUAAGAGACCGAUAGUGAACUAGUACUGUGAAGGAAAGGUGAAAAGAACCGCGAACAGCGGAGUGAAAUAGAACCUGAAACCAUGCGCUUACAAGCGGUCGGAGCCCUUAAGUGGGGUGACGGCGUGCCUUUUGCAUAAUGAGCCUACGAGUUGUACUUUACUGGCGAGGUUAAGGGCUUAAGGUCCGUUAACCGAAGCGAAAGCGAGUCUGAAAUGGGCGUAUAGUCAGUAGAGACAGACGCGAAACCUUGUGAUCUACCCUUGGCCAGGAUGAAGUUCCGUUAACCCGGGAUGGAGGUCCGAACCGAUAAGCGUUGAAAAGCUUCCGGAUGAGCUGAGGGUAGGGGUGAAAGGCUAAUCAAACUGGGAAAUAGCUCGUACUCCCCGAAAUGCCUUUAGGGGCAGCGUAGAGGAGAGUCUUAUAGAGGUAGAGCUACUGAUUGGAUGCGGGGGAAGCGAUUCCUACCAAGUCCUGACAAACUCCGAAUGCUAUAAGAUAUACUCUGCAGUGAGCCCAUGGGUGCUAAGGCCCAUGGACGAGAGAGGGAGAACUCAGACCAACAGCUAAGGUCCCUAAAUCUAGUCUAAGUUGAUAUAACGUGGUCCGAUUGCAUUGACAGCCAGGAUGUUUGCUUGGAAGCAGCCAUUCAUUUAAAGAGUGCGUAACAGCUCACUGGUCGAGCGAUUGGGCGUGGAUGAUACUCGGGCAUCAAGACUAGUACCGAAGCUUUGGGAUUGCAUGAAUAAUGUAAUCGGUAGGGGAGCAUUCUAACGACGUAGAAGGAGUUGCGUGAGCGCUACUGGAGUUGUUAGAAAAGCAAAUGUAGGCAUAAGUAACGAUAAAAUAGGCGAGAAACCUAUUCGCCAAUAGUCUAAGGUUUCCUGAACAACGAUAAUCGGUUCAGGGUUAGUCGGGUCCUAAGGUGAAGCCGAACGGUGUAAUCGAUGGACAACUGGUUAAUAUUCCAGUACUAACACCACUGCGAUGGAGAGACGAAAGAACGUAAAUGCGGCGCACGGACGGAAGUGUGCGUUUAAGCCAUGUAGGGCUACCCUGGGUAGGCAAAUCCGCCUGGGGUCCGAACGGUGAAAGUACCCUGAGUCGUCAGACAAGGGGAUAAGCAUCCAAGUCGAUUUCCGAGAAAAUCUUCUAAGCUUCAGGUGUGUGUUACCCGUACCGCAAACCGACACAGGUAGACAAGUAGAAUAUACUAAGGCGCUCGAGUGAUCCGUGGCUAAGGAACUAGGCAAAUUGACCCCGUAACUUCGGGAGAAGGGGUGCCCACGAAAGUGGGCCGCAGAGAAAUGGCGGUGGCGACUGUUUAACAAAAACACAGGGCUUUGCAAAAACGAAAGUUGAGGUAUAAGGCCUGACACCUGCCCGGUGCUGGAAGGUUAAGAGGAGAGGUUAUUCGCAAGAAGACGCUUUGAAUCGAAGCCCCAGUAAACGGCGGCCGUAACUAUAACGGUCCUAAGGUAGCGAAAUUCCUUGUCGGGUAAGUU